rnacentral:rRNA from 1 species
CUAGCGGCAGGCCUAACACAUGCAAGUCGAGGGGUAGAGUGCUUCGGCACUUGAGACCGGCGCACGGGUGCGUAACACGUGUACAAUCUACCUUUUGCUAAGGGAUAGCCCGAAGAAAUUUGGAUUAAUACCUUAUAGUAUUGUUUGGUGGCAUCACUGAAUAAUUAAAGCUCUGGUGGCAAAAGAUGAGUACGCGUCCCAUUAGCUAGUUGGUGUGGUAACGGCAUACCAAGGCUAUCAUGGGUAGGGGUCCUGAGAGGGAGGUCCCCCCCUGGUAUGAGACACGGACCAGACUCCUACGGGAGGCAGCAGUGAGGAAUAUUGGACAAUGGUCGGAAGACUGAUCCAGCCAUGCCGCGUGCAGGAUGACGGCCUUAUGGGUUGUAAACUGCUUUUGUAUGGGAAGAAUAAGGGUCUACGUGUAGAUUGAUGACGGUACUGUAUGAAUAAGCAUCGGCUAACUCCGUGCCAGCAGCCGCGGUAAUACGGAGGAUGCGAGCGUUAUCCGGAAUCAUUGGGUUUAAAGGGUCCGUAGGCGGGCUUAUAAGUCAGAGGUGAAAGCACUGAGCUCAACUGAGUAACUGCCUUUGAAACUGUAGGUNCUUGAAUGUUUGUGAAGUAGUGAAUGUGUAGUGUAGCGGUGAAAUGCAUAGAUAUUACACAGAACACCGAUUGCGAAGGCAUGUUACUAACAAAUUAUUGACGCUGAUGGACAAAGCGUGGGGAGCGAACAGGAUUAGAUACCCUGGUAGUCCACGCUGUAAACGAUGGAUACUAGCUGUUUGGCAGUAAUGCUGAGUGGCUAAGCGAAAGUGAUAAGUAUCCCACCUGGGGAGUACGCACGCAAGUGUGAAACUCAAAGGAAUUGACGGGGGCCCGCACAAGCGGUGGAGCAUGUGGUUUAUUCGANUGAUACGCGAGGAACCNUUCCAAGGUUUAA